rnacentral:rRNA from 1 species
UACGUAGGGUGCGAGCGUUAAUCGGAAUUACUGGGCGUAAAGCGUGCGCAGGCGGUUUUGUAAGCCAGAUGUGAAAUCCCCGGGCUUAACCUGGGAAUGGCAUUUGGGACUGCAAGGCUUGAGUGCGGCAGAGGAGACUAGAAUUCCUGGUGUAGCAGUGAAAUGCGCAGAUAUCAGGAGGAACACCGAUGGCGAAGGCAGGUCUCUGGGCAUUAACUGACGCUGAGGAGCGAAAGCAUGGGGAGCGAACAGG